GACGAACGCUGGCGGCGUGCUUAACACAUGCAAGUCGAACGGAAAGGCCCUGCUUUUGUGGGGUGCUCGAGUGGCGAACGGGUGAGUAACACGUGAGUAACCUGCCCUUGACUUUGGGAUAACUUCAGGAAACUGUGGCUAAUACCGGAUAGGAGCUCCUGCUGCAUGGUGGGGGUUGGAAAGUUUCGGCGGUUGGGGAUGGACUCGCGGCUUAUCAGCUUGUUGGUGGGGUAGUGGCUUACCAAGGCUUUGACGGGUAGCCGGCCUGAGAGGGUGACCGGCAACAUUGGGACUGGGAUACGGCCAAGACUCCUACGGGAGGCAGCAGUGGGGAAUAUUGCACAAUGGGCGGAAGCCUGAUGCAGCAACGCCGCGUGCGGGAUGACGGCCUUCGGGUUGUAAACCGCUUUCGCCUGUGACGAAGCGUGAGUGACGGUAAUGGGUAAAGAAGCACCGGCUAACUACGUG
rnacentral:rRNA from 1 species